rnacentral:rRNA from 1 species
UGCAUAUCCAAAUAGCGGAGGAAAAGAAACCAACAGGGAUUGCCUCAGUACGGCGAGUGAAGCGGCAAAAGCUCAAAUUUUAAAGCUGGCACCUCCGGUGUCCGCGUUGUAAUUUUGUGAGGCAUCUCCGGGUGGGGCGCCGGCCUAAGUUCCUUGGAACAGGACGUCAUAGAGGGUGAGAAUCCCGUGCUUGGCUGGCUGUCCCCGUCCAUGUGAGGUGUCUUCGACGAGUCGAGUUGUUUGGGAAUGCAGCUCAAAAUGGGUGGUAAAUUUCAUCUAAAGCUAAAUAUUGGUGGGAGACCGAUAGCGCACAAGUAGAGUGAUCGAAAGAUGAAAAGCACUUUGAAAAUAGAGUUAAAAAGUACGUGAAAUUGUUGAAAGGGAAGCGCUUGAGACCAGACUUCGGUGGGGAGUGAUCAGCCGUCCUUCUGGGCGGUGCACUUGCCCCCCUCCGGGCCAGCAUCGGUUGGGACGGCGGGAUAAAGGUCCCGGGAAUGUGGCUCCUCUCGGGGAGUGUUAUAGCCCGGGUGAAUGCCGCCAGCCCCGACCGAGGACCGCGCCUUCGGGCUAGGAUGCUUGGCAUAAUGGUCUUCAGCGACCCGUCUUGAA